CACAUAAAUAACUAAAUUUUAUUAUCAAAUUGAACUCUCAUCAGAUCUUUAUGUCAUUUUAAAUCUUUUAUCAUUUGCAGGCAAUUAUUGUUUUACUCUGAUUCUUCUCUGGAAGUGUCUACAGGUCCAGGAACCUCAGGAUAUUUGGGGUUCCUUAAGAAGAGAAGAAUUCAACUAAAUCUCUCUAUUUACAAUAGCCCGGAGAUGGAAACAACCUAAGUGCCCAUCAUCAGAUGAAUGGAUAAAGAAGAUGUGGCACAUAUAUACAAUGGAAUAUUACUCAGCCAUAAAAAGAAACAAAACUGAGCUAUUUGUAAUGAGGUGGAUAGACCUAGAGUCUGUCAUACAGAGUGAAGUAAGUCAGAAAGAAAAAGACAAAUACCGUAUGCUAACACAUAUAUCUAGAAUUUAAGAAGAAAA